UAUUAAUGAAUGGUACCCAAUUCAAUCCAAAUGGUUCGGCCACUGCUACUAGUGUUCGGUUUAUUGCUUAGAGCUUGUGGUUGGUUGGUUAUCUGAUUGUUUGUGGCAAAUCAAGGUGUGUAUGAUUUAUAUGACUUAGAAAAGUAUCAAGUAAUUGGAUUGGUUGGAUUCGGUUGCGAAAUUAAGAUCUCUCGGUGGGAUCAAUUAGUGUAUUGAAUGUAUGUAAGAGGCUUUCACUAUGGGGGGUUAUCCCUAACACUCUAACGGUCUUUCAUUCUCACUUAGAGAGGAUUGACGCGUGUGGUGAGAGUAGUGGGAGGUCCUAGGGUAGGCGCUUUCACUGUAGGCCUAUACUGCGGUAACGGACCAUCCUUGUGUAUGGUCGGGUGGAACCCCUCGGCAAUGACUUUGCAAAGCAGUAGGGCCAUCACAAGUGCACAACCCGCCCCAGUUCUAUAUACAUUCUAUGUCCGGACGUGUCUAGGAGUCUUAACAUGACAUGAUGUUUGCUUUAGUGAGUUUUGUGAAAUCAAUGUUUAUGUUUAUGAUGACUUAUAUGUUUAAGUGUGUAUGAAUGUUCUUGCAAUGAAUUGUAUAAUUGUUUGAGACCUAGCUCACCCUUGCACUUGUAUGUUUGUUUGUGUUUGCCUUCCCCCUUGCGAUGAUCAUCCAAUCCUUUGGAUGUGAGCAGUAGGUGAUGAGGUACCCUUGGAGCAGGCAUGGGAGACUGAGGAAGAUCCAGCCCCUAGUACUUAGGGCGUUUAUUAGUUCUUAUUUCAAUAGCUUGUUAAUUUUUGGAAACACUCUCUAGGCAUCCUUCGAUCUUUAGUUUAUUUUGUAUUUUGGAGAACUUUGGGGAACUUGUACUCAAGUUUUAUUUCGUUUUAAUUUUCCACUAAAUUUCGGAUGACGGUAUAAAUAUUUAAAUACUGUCAUCUUUAUCUCUUAACUGCUUUCACAUAUUGUAAUAGCUG
rnacentral:lncRNA from 1 species